AAAAAAUCAAUGAGAAGGAUUAGUACAAUUGCCCCCCUGUAUAACAGAGAACCGGAGAAGCUGCGAACCCGGUAUACACGGAAAUUGGAAUGGACCUUUGAGAGUGCUCUGGAAUGAAUAGUACAGAGCAACGACUUAUCCUCGUUAGCGGAUCAAUCAAGCGGAAGACUAUUAAAGAAAUAGUCCUUCAAAUAGAGGUGGCACCGCGGUAAACCAACCGUCCCUAUA
rnacentral:ncRNA from 1 species